ACGAAACUUCUUUAUCACCGAGUGCUUGCACUCACCGAUAAAGAGUUGAGUGGCGAACGGGUGAGUAACACGUGGGCAACCUGCCCAAAAGAGGGGGAUAACACUUGGAAACAGGUGCUAAUACCGCAUAACCAUAGUUACCGCAUGGUAACUAUGUAAAAGGUGGCUAUGCUACCGCUUUUGGAUGGGCCCGCGACGCAUUAGCUAGUUGGUGGGGUAAAGGCUUACCAAGGCAAUGAUGCGUAGCCGAACUGAGAGGUUGAUCGGCCACAUUGGGACUGAGACACGGCCCAAACUCCUACGGGAGGCAGCAGUAGGGAAUCUUCCACAAUGGGCGAAAGCCUGAUGGAGCAACGCCGCGUGGGUGAAGAAGGUCUUCGGAUCGUAAAACCCUGUUGUUAGAGAAGAAAGUGCGUGAGAGUAACUGUUCACGUUUCGACGGUAUCUAACCAGAAAGCCACGGCUAACUACGUGCCAGCAGCCGCGGUAAUACGUAGGUGGCAAGCGUUAUCCGGAUUUAUUGGGCGUAAAGGGAACGCAGGCGGUCUUUUAAGUCUGAUGUGAAAGCCUUCGGCUUAACCGGGGUAGUGCAUUGGAAACUGGGAGACUUGAGUGCAGAAGAGGAGAGUGGAACUCCAUGUGUAGCGGUGAAAUGCGUA
rnacentral:rRNA from 1 species